GUGAGCAGCACCAAAUGAGGCCAUCGCGGUCGCUGAGCGGAGGGAGUGUUUAUAGCCUAACUUUGGCGAGGCAACAAGCCCCCAGGAGUGCCUUCAUUUCAGCACCCCCGGCCCUCCCCAAAGCCAGCUCGUUCUAUUUGGAGACUGUUGCUGCCUUACCAGCUUUGUGCUGAUGAACAUGGUCACCUUGAAAGGUGUGUUGAAUAUGGCAGAGCCAGAAAAUGCAAGGAGCUUCUUCUCUGGAUCACCACUUGAAGAAGAGCCACUUGCUCCUCAGGAACCCUAUUUUGGACUGACGUUGCAAGAAAGCUCAAGUAGCCUAUGGAGAGGAUGCAAGGCUUCCAGCUGAUGCCCUCAGCCAGGCUCAGUAGCAGCCAGAACUAGCCUACCAACGAACCUGCUGAUCAUGUGCAUAAGCCACCUUGAACGUCGAUCCUCCUGCCUGGUGGAGCCAUCCCAGCUGAUGCCACAUGAAGCAGACACAAGCUGUCCCUACUAAGCUCUGCUCAAGUUGGAUAUUCAUGAGUGAAAUAAAUGACUGUUACUAAGUAAUUAAUUUUUGGGUGGCUGUUAUGUAGCAGUAGAUAAUUGGAACAAAGCUUAUUGACAUAAUACAUCUAUAUCACAUCCUCCAAUCCAUUUUUUUAAGUAAUAAAGUUGAUGUUUGUUUUGAUUUUCAGUUACAGCUUUACAUAUUUUGUCUUAAUUAGUCAAUUUUUUCCAAACUCAAAAUGGGUUUUUGUAAGAGUAGUAGUAGGGUCCUAGAAUAAUGGCAAUUCUCUUUCACUGGAGAAAGUUUUGUAGAGAAGACAAAAGAAUUUUUACAAGUACUCCACUGGUGAAAACUCAUAAACCUUGAAGGUAUUUUUAAAUUCAUCAUGCAUUUAUCAAUUUAUAAAUGAAUUCAUCAUUCAUUGGUCCAUUCAUCCAUCCCUCCAUCCAUUUCUAGAUCCUCUCAUAAGAGGAAAUCUAGGAAUAAGCCUGAUCAGUGAAAGUUUCAUGGGAAAGAGGAAGGAGGAAGAAAUUAUUUUAUUUUUAGAGUUUUGGGAGUUAGUGGUUAUGGACUUGCACUGGAGAAGAUGGGUGAGAAAGUUCAAGGUUUCUAAAAUGGGAAAGUAGGCCUGGAGAAAAUGUUGCAACCAAGAUUAUAAGGCCAAUUACCAGGUCUGAUUACCAGAAAAUAAUUUUUAAGGCAGGAAUAUUAGGCCAUAUCAGUACCUGAAAGAGUGAUCGAGGCUAAUUUGUUCAUUCAUGUAACAACAAUUUAUUAUGUGCUACUAAGUACCAUCACUAUAUUAUAAACUGAGGGUUCAGUAGUGGAUAAGAGAAACUAAUUCCCUGGCCUAAUGAAGAUUUCAUUCAACGGGGAAAACAAGAAACAUAUAUGUAAAUUAGCAAAAGUUAAUAAUAUCAUUCAAAGAGUGCUAAGAGCUCUGAAAAUAGUAAAGCAGGGUGACUGAUAAAACAGGACUAAGCAGGUAACAGUAAGAGGUGAUCAGGGAAAAAACCUCUGAAGAAAACAUAUUUGAUCUGGAAUCCAAAUGGCAAGUAGAAUGAAGAAGGUAAAUAAUUCAUACAAGAGCAUAUCUCUUCCAUAGCAAGUGCAAAGACCCUGGGCAAAUGCCAUAGUUGAGCUAGCACCCACCACUGGCUUCAAGUGAUGGGUGAGUGAUACAGACUCAAGGAAAGGGCCAAAAGGGCAGACAAAACCAGUUCAAUUUGUCACUUAUUCAUCCACCCAUUGAUCCAUCUACUGAUCCAUUUAUCCAUCCAUCCAUCCAUCCAUCCAUCCAUCCAUCCAUCCAUCUAUUCAACAUACAUGUUGGGUGCCCUUUACAUACCAGGACCUGUACUGGGCAUGGGAACUGCAGAGAUGAAAAGAUGAACAAUCUCUGUACUUGAGGGACUCAUCUCACUCUGUGAGAUGAACUGGCAUGUGACUGAAAACUCACUAUAUUGGUAACGAGACUAAAACACAGAGCUUAAUGAUUUAACCUGAUACCACCCAAGUGGUUAGCGGUUAGUGGCAGGGCUUCAGAAUUUUAUUUUCCUUCCCUACAGGGAAAACCAUUAUGUGUGACCUACUUUUUCAAACUCUCUUCCUCAGUGGGGCAACAAUUAGAGUUUAUCUAUUGCUAGUGCUUACCAUUUUAGGCUCCUUUAAUUAGAGUGUUUUAAAUUAGUGUUAUUUUAAUUUUGCUUAUCUCCUGAGACAUUAUAGAGGAUAAAUAGCAAAUGAAAUAAUGUACAUGAAAACACAUUGUAACCCAUAAACCAUCAUACAGAUGUGUGUUAUAUACAGUUUUAUAUUUGAGGAUAUAGCUUUAUGCAUUAGUACUGCUUCCUCCUCAGGGAUGUCUCCAAAAGAAUUCAGAGUAAAACAGACUUGUGGAUUGAUGCUUUAAAGACAUUUUGUAUUUUCUUUAAAAAUAAAAUUGACUCACAGUAGGUGCUUAAUAAAUAUUUGUUCAAAGAAUGCAUAAGAUGCAAUAUUCAGAGACAUAGAUUCAGUGUAGUAGGCAUCAGUGUGGCUACUUGGCUACUUACUGUGCAAAAGAUGUCAAUUUGUGAGUGCAAAUUCAUCUUAAGGAAAUUCUCUGAUUUAAUUUAAGCAUUGGUAGAGAGAUUUACUAUUAUCCUCCUUGGAAAUGAAAAGCAUAUAGCUCAGGGAAGGAAGAUCACAUUUUUAGGAGAACUAUCUGGGGGCAGAUUACCCAAAGUGUUAAUUAUUAUAAUUACUAUUGUUAAGUUGGUUUUAAAGUCCUAUAUGAUGUAAUAUCAUGUUCUCUUUUUGUUUCUCCAG
rnacentral:lncRNA from 1 species